GUCGGUGUCUAUGACGAUAAGGUCCCACCCGUUCCCAUUCCGAACACGGUAGUUAAGCUUAUCGGUGCCGAAAAUACUUGGCGGGAGACUGCCCGGUAAGAUAGGACGAUGCCGGCA
rnacentral:rRNA from 1 species